rnacentral:rRNA from 1 species
CCUACGGGUGGCAGCAGUGGGGAAUAUUGCACAAUGGGGGAAACCCUGAUGCAGCAACGCCGCGGGAGGGAGGAAGGAUGUCGGGAUGUAAAGCUCUAUCAGCAGGGAAGAGAAAAGAAGGAACCGGAAAAAGAAGCGCAGGCUAACUACGUGCCAGCAGCCGCUGUAAUACGUAGGGGGCAAGCGUUAACCGGAUUUACGGGGUGUAACGGGAGCGUAGACGGAAAGGCAAGUCAGAAGUGAAAGCACAAGGCUCAACCAUGGGAAUGCUUUUGAAACGGGCAAACUAGAGUCCGCGAGAGGUAAGCGCAUUUCCUUGUGUCGCGGUGCACUGCUUCGAUCUUAGGAG